AAUUCAAUAAAAGAAAAAGAAGAAGGGUCUUGUGCUUAUUGAAUAAAGACUAUUAGCUGCAGCCGUUCGGACAUACAAAAUUCUCUUGUACUCUCCGCUAUUUUUUAUUAUCCAUCGGAGCGUGUACAGCCAUACCGGUCAUAUGCGGCGAUUGCCAUUGUGAGCCGUUGUUGAGGGACAGACGAAGUAGGACUAUAUUUUGAGAUCAGUGGUGCCGAAGCAGUUAAAAACACUGGAGAUAUGUGUAUCGAGAUUUCUCUGCCAAAGCAUUUCCAAUCCAUGGUAUUUAUGUCGGUGUCGAGGUUGAGUGGCACGAAAACUGGCAGAGUCAUAAAGAACUUUACGUGACGGAGAAAAGAAGCUACAACUGAACAUAUUUACUACAA
rnacentral:lncRNA from 13 species